GCGUCCCCAUUAGCUAGUUGGUGAGGUAACAGCUCACCUAGGCUAAGACGGGUAACCGGACUGAGAGGUCGAACGGUCACACUGGAACUGAGACACGGUCCAGACUCCUACGGGAGGCAGCAGUGGGGAAUUUUGGGCAAUGGGGGGAACCCUGACCCAGCGACGCCGCGUGAGUGAAGAAAUUCCUCGGAAUGUAAAGCUCUGUUGUAUGGGAAGAUAAUGACGGUACCAUACGAGGAAGCCCCGGCAAACUACGUGCCAGCAGCCGCGGUAAUACGUAGGGGGCAAGCGUUGUCCGGAAUUACUGGGCGUAAAGCGCACGCAGGCGGAAUUGUAAGUCCGUUGUAAAAUUCAGAGGCUCAACCUCUGUCUGUCGGCGGAUACUGCAAAUCUAGAGUAUGUGAGAGGGAAGUGGAAUUCCUGGUGUAGCGGUGAAAUGCGUAGAUAUCAGGAGGAACUCCGGUGGCGAAGGCGACUUCCUGGCACAAGACUGACGCUCAUGUGCGAAAGCUAGGGUAGCGAACGGGAUUAGAUACCCCGGUAGUCCUAGCCGUAAAUGAUGGAUACUAGGUGUGGGUGUCGCAGGGCAUCCGUGCCGCAGUUAACGCGUUAAGUAUCCCGCCUGGGGACUACGGUCGCAAGACUGAAACUCAAAGGAAUUGACGG
rnacentral:rRNA from 1 species